AGAGUUUGAUCCUGGCUCAGGAUGAAGCGCUGGCGGCGUGCUUAACACAUGCAAGUCGAACGGGAUCCAUCAGGCUUUGCUUGGUGGUGAGAGUGGCGAACGGGUGAGUAAUGCGUGACCGACCUGCCCCAUACACCGGAAUAGCUCCUGGAAACGGGUGGUAAUGCCGGAUGCUCCAGUUGAUCGCAUGGUCUUCUGGGAAAGCUUUCGCGGUAUGGGAUGGGGUCGCGUCCUAUCAGCUUGACGGCGGGGUAACGGCCCACCGUGGCUUCGACGGGUAGCCGGCCUGAGAGGGCGACCGGCCACAUUGGGACUGAGAUACGGCCCAGACUCCUACGGGAGGCAGCAGUGGGGAAUAUUGCACAAUGGGCGCAAGCCUGAUGCAGCGACGCCGCGUGAGGGAUGGAGGCCUUCGGGUUGUAAACCUCUUUUAUCGGGGAGCAAGCGAGAGUGAGUUUACCCGUUGAAUAAGCACCGGCUAACUACGUGCCAGCAGCCGCGGU
rnacentral:rRNA from 1 species